UACGUAGGGGGCGAGCGUUGUCCGGAUUUACUGGGCGUAAAGGGCGCGUAGGCGGCCUUCUAAGUCGAACGUGAAAUCCCCGGGCUCAACCCGGGAACUGCGUCCGAUACUGGAAGGCUUGAAUCCGGGAGAGGGAUGCGGAAUUCCAGGUGUAGCGGUGAAAUGCGUAGAUAUCUGGAGGAACACCGGUGGCGAAGGCGGCAUUCUGGACCGAUAUUGACGCUGAGGAGCGAAAGCCAGGGGAGCAAACGGG
rnacentral:rRNA from 1 species